rnacentral:piRNA from 1 species
UCAGUGUCAAUGGGACUUGACAUUUCUG